rnacentral:rRNA from 1 species
UCGCCUGCAUGAAGUCGGAAUUGCUAGUAAUCGCGGAUCAGCAUGCCGCGGUGAAUACGUUCCCGGGCCUUGUACACACCGCCCGUCACACCAUGGGAGUCGGUAACACCCGAAGCCGAUAGUCUAACGAAAGAGGACGUCGUCGAAGGUGGGAUUGAUGACUGGGGUGAAGUCGUAACAAGGUAUC